CACCUCCGCAGGCUGGCCGGCUCUGAGGCUGGGCUGGGUAUCUCUUCCAAAGGCUCAUCCUCAAGUACGACCAGGAGC
rnacentral:pre_miRNA from 1 species